rnacentral:rRNA from 1 species
UAGAUCGAAGGAGUGGCGAACGGGUGAGUAAUACAUAAGCAACCUACCCACGAAGACUGGGAUAAUCUCUGGAAACGGGGACUAAUACCGGAUAGGUAAUCGGAAGGCAUCUUCUGGUUAUUAAAGGUUAAAAACACUGGUGGAUGGGCUUAUGGCGCAUUAGUUAGUUGGUGAGGUAACGGCCCACCAAGACGAUGAUGCGUAGCCGGCCUGAGAGGGUGAACGGCCACAUUGGGACUGAGACACGGCCCAGACUCCUACGGGAGGCAGCAGUAGGGAAUUUUCGGCAAUGGGGGAAACCCUGACCGAGCAACGCCGCGUGAGUGAUGACGGCCUUCGGGUUGUAAAGCUCUGUUGUAAGGGAAGAACGGUAGAUAGAGAAUAUCUAAGUGACGGUACCUUACCAGAAAGCCACGGCUAACUACGUGCCAGCAGCCGCGGUAAUACGUAGGUGGCGAGCGUUAUCCGGAAUUAUUGGGCGUAAAGGGUGCGUAGGCGGCCUGUUAAGUAAGUGGUUAAAUUGUUGGGCUCAACCCAAUCCAGCCACUUAAACUGGCAGGCUAGAGUAUUGGAGAGGCAAGUGGAAUUCCAUGUGUAGCGGUAAAAUGCGUAGAUAUAUGG